rnacentral:tRNA from 2 species
CAAGGAGUAGUUUAGGGCAAGAAUCCUGGCUUUGGGAGCCAGGGGCGGGAGUUAAAUCCUCCUCUCCUUGA